GAUACCUAGGAGAUAACAUGCAGAGGGAUGGGGGUAGAGUGCAUAUGUCAUACAUUUUGGCAAAGCUUUCAUGUACAGUACAAAUGUUUGUGUAUGUGUGUGUGUGUGUGUGUAUGUGUGUGUGGGUUGGGGGGAUUGUGUGUGUGUGGGUUGGGGGGGUAACUCUUUGAAGGACUCAUUCUGUUUUAUUAAAAGGAGAGGUUGACCUGUUAUCACCGUUCUAGAGACUACAUCCUGUCAAUCUAUUAAAGGAGAGGUUUCUGUCAAUAUAUUAAAGGAGAGGUUUCUGUCAAUCUAUUAAAGGAGAGGUUUCUGUCAAUCUAUUAAAGGAGAGAUUUCAGGGACCUGUUAUCACCGUUCUAGAGACUACAUCCUGUUAAUCUAUUAAAGGAGAGGUUUCAGGGACCUGUUAUCACUGUUCUAGAGACUACAUCCUGUUAAUCUAUUAAAGGAGAGGUUUCUGUCAAUAUAUUAAAGGAGAGGUUUCUGUCAAUCUAUUAAAGGAGAGGUUUCUGUCAAUCUAUUAAAGGAGAGGUUUCUGUUAAUCUAUUAAAGGAGAGGUUUC
ensembl:lncRNA